rnacentral:misc_RNA from 1 species
CCGAACGAGGUGAAGGGCCCUGAAAUCGUAUCAGUCGCCACGAGACCAAUCGUCUCGAGAACCGAUACGCAACCAGAAGUUUCAUAACCGUGCCCGAGAAAGUAAAGGAACCGAGCAGAAGGAAUCGGAAGCUCGGACGACUUAAGAUAUUAAUUUCUUCAAUUGAAGACGUCAUUUCCGUGACGACGAGUUCUCUUAAUCAUGUCUCUUUCUUGAAAAGAAAUGUUGCUUCGGCAGCAGAGUAAUAAGAGAUGGGAUUAUUAUCGGAAUACGAGAAGGAAAGCUGAAGGGUGUAUUAUAGUAAGGAACGAUAUAACAAUAGCGAAUAAAAUAAAUUUUCAACGUCAUAAACUUUCUU